rnacentral:rRNA from 1 species
GACGAACGCUGGCGGCGUGCUUAACACAUGCAAGUCGAACGGAAAGGCCUCUUUCGGGGGGUACUCGAGUGGCGAACGGGUGAGUAACACGUGAGUAACCUGCCCUUGACUUUGGGAUAACUUCAGGAAACUGGGGCUAAUACCGGAUAGGAGCUCCUGCUGCAUGGUGGGGGUUGGAAAGUUUCGGCGGUUGGGGAUGGACUCGCGGCUUAUCAGCUUGUUGGUGGGGUAGUGGCUUACCAAGGCUUUGACGGGUAGCCGGCCUGAGAGGGUGACCGGCCACAUGGGGCGUGAGUGCGGGCCGAGACCCCUCGGGGGGGAAGAGGGGGGGAUGUUGGCAAAAGGGGUGGAGGCUGGAUGAAGAACGGCGGGGGGGGGGAGGGGGGCCUGGGGGUGGAAAACGGUUUUCCAUCAGGAAAAAGCUUGGUGGGAGGGUGGGGGAAAAAGAACCCCCGGCUAACUCGGUC